rnacentral:lncRNA from 1 species
UGCAUGCAUGUGUGUGUGCAGCAUGAGGGUGUGGACAGCAUGUGGUGUGUGUGCUGUGUGUGUGCACCGUGUGUGUGCGGCAUGCAUGUGUAUGUGAGGCAUGUGUGUGCAGCAUGUGUGUGCAUGUAGCAUGUGUGAGAGUGUGUGGGGUGUGUGUGUAGCAUGUGUGUGUAGCGUGCGUGUAGCAUGUGCAUAUGUAGCAUGUGUGAGAGUGUGUGGGAGGUGUAUGUGUAGCAUAUGUGUAUGUAGCAUGUGUGUGUAGCUUGUGUGUGUGCAACAUGUGUGAGAGCAGGUGGGGUGUGUGAGUGGUGGCAC